rnacentral:rRNA from 1 species
GACGAACGCUGGCGGCGUGCCUAAUACAUGCAAGUCGAGCGCAGGAAACUGACGGAACUCUUCGGAGGGAAGGCAGCGGAAUGAGCGGCGGACGGGUGAGUAACACGUAAGGAACCUGCCUCAAGGAUUGGGAUAACUCCGAGAAAUCGGAGCUAAUACCGGAUAGUUCAUCGGACCGCAUGGUCCGCUGAUGAAAGGCGCUCCGGCGUCACCUUGAGAUGGCCUUGCGGUGCAUUAGCUAGUUGGUGGGGUAACGGCCCACCAAGGCGACGAUGCAUAGCCGACCUGAGAGGGUGAUCGGCCACACUGGGACUGAGACACGGCCCAGACUCCUACGGGAGGCAGCAGUAGGGAAUCUUCCACAACGGACGAAAGUCUGAUGGAGCAACGCCGCGUGAGUGAUGAAGGUUUUCGGAUCGUAAAACUCUGUUGUAAGGGAAGAACACUUACGAGAGGAAAUGCUCGUACCUUGACGGUACCUUACGAGAAAGCCACGGCUAACUACGUGCCAGCCGCCGCCGUAA